rnacentral:rRNA from 1 species
UACGUAGGGUGCGAGCGUUAAUCGGAAUUACUGGGCGUAAAGCGUGCGCAGGCGGUUGUGUAAGACAGGUGUGAAAUCCCCGGGCUCAACCUGGGAACUGCAUUUGUGACUGCACAGCUGGAGUGCGGCAGAGGGGGAUGGAAUUCCGCGUGUAGCAGUGAAAUGCGUAGAUAUGCGGAGGAACACCGAUGGCGAAGGCAAUCCCCUGGGCCUGCACUGACGCUCAUGCACGAAAGCGUGGGGAGCAAACAGG